rnacentral:rRNA from 1 species
UACGGGGGGGGCAAGCGUUGUUCGGAAUUACUGGGCGUAAAGGGUCCGUAGGUGGCCAACUAAGUCAGACGUGAAAUCCCUCGGCUUAACCGGGGAACUGCAUCUGAUACUGGAUGGCUUGAGAUUGGGAGAGGGAUGCGGAAUUCCAGGUGUAGCGGUGAAAUGCGUAGAUAUCUGGAGGAACACCAAUUGCGAAGGCAGCUCGCUGGGACGUCACUGACGCUGAGACGCGAAAGCGUGGGGAGCAAACAGG